ensembl:lncRNA
UCCUGUUAAUACUUUAUUAGUGUAAUUUUUUAGCUUUCUAUUGGACAGAACAUAAAUGCAAACUCCAAAAAAAAUUCAGAGUCCUCUGCCAUUCAGUAGAAGUGACCAUGGCAGCCUGGUUCGUGUUCAUUCUUUGUUACAGAAACGAGAGGAAGGGGAAGGGAGGGAAAAAGCAUCAAUAGAACAAUUAGGCACACAGCUGACACUUACUGUACAAUGAUAUGCACAAGUAAUUCAUAACAGCUAUAUUCAUGAGAUGUGCUCUUCAGAUUUCUCCCUUGUAAUAUAUGAACUUUGCUCAGACGAGCAAGGAUCAUUGAGAACAAGGGCAAAAUUAACAAAGGAGUAACAAAUAAGACUUUUAAAACAAGUCCUUAAAUAAACUAACGCAACAACAGAAUGCAAAAUUGUUCAGCUGAGAAGAUAUUUUUAACCUAGACUUCAAAACAUUAAAAAUUCAUUUAUUUUACAGUUAUUCAAAUACACAUGCAUUAAAUGAAAAUAUUGCACAAAAUUAAAAUUUAGAUUGUGGAAUUCAUAUAUUUUUAUUUUGGUACACAUUCUGGUAGCACUUAAAAUUUACUGUUUAGUUCUAGCAAACACCAGCAGCACAAGCUUGAGGAUGAACCAAAUGAAAAAUUCAAUUACUCGUUUCCUCUUAAAAAUAAUUAAGGCUAAAACAAGUGCAUUUGUUGACAAUGGCACAAUUCUGUGCAGCCAGUCACAGCACUCAAAGGCCAGAAGAUACACGCACGCACUUAAGUGCUGUAUAUCAACAUUCAGUUUUGGAAACUUUCUAGGAUAACAGGCUGCUUGGGUUGACAGAGUAGGUAUUUUAAGCUGUCAACAGGAAAACCAUUUAAAUAGAGAUACACACAAAUUCUUUUUAAUAAAAAGGAUUCAUUUCUGAUUAUUCUUGUCAGCCAACAGGCACCAUUGAAUUAGGAAGCCACACUCUGUAAUUAAAUACAGAAGACAAAACUUCAAUACAUAUAUACAUAUGCACACAUAGGUAUACAAGUGUGUGUAUAAGUAUAUAUAUGUAAUAAAUUCAUUAAGUAAAACUAAUAAACAUGGCGUAUUAUGUUCAGUUCACAUUCCUAGAGAUAUUAUUUUAUUUUUGUACAGAAAUGUACCAGAUACUUUAAAAAAAAAAGGAAAAAAAAAAGAAAUCCCAAAUUUGCACAUUAUCACGAUUCUCUUGAAAUUUUUCAUGGUACCUACAGAUAGAUAAAAGGUUCCACAGAUUUGACAAAACAGUAUUUGAACUUCCCGCUUUCAUACUGCUAACAAAUUCAGUGAUUUAAAAGCCAUAAAUUAGAUUUGAUAGGCUCAAGGAUAUAUUUGCUAUAUCGCCAUCAGUCAGAUACCAGGAAUGCUUGAGCACCCUGACAUCAGAGGAAAAUACAGGCUUGUAAACAACAGGAGCUGGCUACGCUGAUUACUUAACAUAGAACUCAAUAAUCUUGUUAAAUUCAACACACUUCUACAGAACCUGCAGAGAGGAAGGGGGAAGGGUUCUUACAUAUUUAACCAACUUGUCUUCCUAGGGACUAUAAAAGAAAGGGAUUUCAUUUAUAGUAUUUAGUUCUGCAAUAAAGAAAAAAAAAAACAAAACCCAAG